AUGCUCACUUAGGCAGUACAUAUACUAAAAUUUGAACAAUACAGAGAAGAUCAGCAUGGCCCCUAAACAAGAAUGCCAUGCAAAUUCAUGAAGUAUUCCAUAUUUUU